UACGUAGGGUGCGAGCGUUAAUCGGAAUUACUGGGCGUAAAGCGUGCGUAGGCGGUUCGUUAAGUCAGUUGUGAAAGCCCCGGGCUCAACCUGGGAAUUGCGGUUGAAACUGGCGAACUAGAAUCUGGCAGAGGGGGGUGGAAUUCCACGUGUAGCAGUGAAAUGCGUAGAAGAUGUGGAGGAACACCGAUGGCGAAGGCAGCCCCUGGGUCAAGAUUGACGCUCGAUGCACGAAAGCGUGGGGAGCAAACAGG
rnacentral:rRNA from 1 species